UACUUUUGAAAUUCGUUCAUUUUGCUGUCGGAUUUGGAAGAACGUACUUCAUCACUCCUCAAUUGGAAAAAAAUUAAAAAAAAUUCUUAACUAAAAUGGCUGUUUCUAAUAAAAUAUUAUUAAAAACUUGUUGCCAUAAAUAUAUAGCAACUAGAAUUUGCAUAAGUUGAGUAAUAUUUGAAGCGAUGGCGCUGAAAAUAGCUGAUAAAGUUAGCCCAGGCGGCUGAGGUUUUAUUGAACAAAAUGCUGAAAAUAUCCUAAUGAAGAGGUUAAACAACCGAUCAAGCGACUGAAAGUUGCUGAAAUUUAAGUAAUCUGCAGCAGUUUUUAAAAUAGUUGUCAAUGACUCGUAGUGAGAAUGGCUGAAAGAUGUUUAUUGCGGAUACCCGAAAGGUUUUCUGAAAGCUGGAAGGCUGUACAUAACAUUUUAUUCACCGAAAUAUUCACAAAAGAAAGCUAAAAACAGGGUAAACAUGGAAAGGAUUUGCACGAAUUGCAUAUUGGAAAUAUUUCCAUACCAAAGAUGUGCUCUUAUAACUUCUUUGGAUGGAAACGUUUUUAAUUUUGUGUAUAAACUAACAUAAUCAAAUGAAACUGAAUAAAAAUAAAACAUUUUUAAACUAAAA